rnacentral:rRNA from 1 species
UACGGGGGGGGCUAGCGUUGUUCGGAAUUACUGGGCGUAAAGGGUCUGUAGGUGGCUUACUAAGUCAGACGUGAAAUCCCUCAGCUUAACUGGGGAACUGCGUCUGAUACUGGAAAGCUUGAGUGCAGGAGAGGAACGCGGAAUUCCAGGUGUAGCGGUGAAAUGCGUAGAUAUCUGGAGGAACACCGGUGGCGAAGGCGGCGUUCUGGACUGCAACUGACACUGAGAGACGAAAGCCAGGGGAGCAAACGGG